rnacentral:lncRNA from 1 species
AAAUACGGGAUAGAAAAGCAGGAAACAAUUUCACAACCAAUCACUUACAUAAACCAACGAAGUUACAAAUGAAGGCCUACAGCCGAAAGUCUACAAAAGACCGGCUCUUAAAAAGGAAUUGUCCUACGACCUACAAGUCGGACACGUUCUCCAAUCUUAUGCCUUCACCUCUGCAACUCCUCAAGGCCAACCAAAGCUAUCUGGCCACUCCGUCCAUCAGGGACCUGAAAUUUUAAUCCCACAACCGGGAUGAGACGAUGUCUCAGCAAGUUCAACCCCCUAAACCCCUAUUAGAAAGAAAAUACACCCCGGGUGGCCUAGCCACGUCACUCAGAAGACUUACCUCGUCUUAAUUCCUUCCUGCAGAUUAGCACAAUUUAUAUCACAAAAUCUCGGGUAGUAAUAAUAAUUCAAACAAUUGGAAAGCCAUCACUUUCAUAUAAAUCAUAAUCGCACUUAGCACGCAUUCCAAUUAUUAUUCAUUGCCACACGACGGCAUAGCCUACUCGCGGGUCGACUAUCUACUAACAUUACGGCAUUUCUAAAAGAAUAAAGGUCCAGUCGGUCUCGCCACUACUGCGACCAAGCCACGUCGUUCUAUCGACAGCAUUUCUAGAGAAAUAAAGGUCCAGUCGGUCUCGCCACUACUGCGACCAAGCCACGUCGUUCUAUCGACAGCAUUUCUAGAGAAAUAAAGGUCCAGUCGGUCUCGCCACUACUGCGACCAAGCCACGUCGUUCUAUCGACAGCAUUUCUAGAAAAAUAAAGGUCCAGUCGGUCUCGCCACUACUGCGACCAAGCCACGUCAUUCUCUUGACAGCAUUUCUAGAAGAAUAAGGAUCCAGUCGGCUUAGCCACUACUGCGACCCGAGCCACGUCACUCUCUUGACGGCAUUUCUAGAAGAAUAAGGAUCCAGUCGGCCUAGCCACUGCUGCGACCCGAGCCACGUCACUCUCUUGACGGCAUUUCUAGAAGAAUAAGGAUCCAGUCGUCCUAGCCACUACUGCGACCCGAGUCUUUCAACCAGCACACAACAAUUCAAUAAUCAAAUGCACAAAUCAUCACUCAAUUUGUAAUAUCUAAUCAUCAAAUUCAUAAUCUGAAUACACUGCAGCGAUCAGCACAAAAUUCUGAGAAUUUAGGGUCCCAAAAUAAUUUUCGGAAUUUAUUUAAUAAUUAAGUUUAUUUCGAAAAUUAAUUAAAUAAUAAUAUCCUUAUCCUUCACAAUCCACACUCGAUUUAUAAUCUCCAAUCAUCAAUUUCAAAAUCUGACUACACAGCAGCGACCGGUACGAAAUUCUGAGCAAUCGAGGUUAAAAUUAAUUUUUUUUCCGUUUUUAUUUAUUUAUAAUAAUAUUUUAAUAAUUUCGGAAUAUAAUAUAAUAUUAUAAAUUCCAGAAUUCGAAAUCAUUAAUUAAUUCAAAAAUAAAACCCCAUUAUGUCACAUCAAGGCUUUAUAUUAAAAAUAAACAUACUUAACUUUAAAUUAACCACACUUUAACUUAAUUAAACACCUUAAUCUAAUCAUCAACCAAAUAAACUAAUCUAACCACCUAAACUUACUUAACUUAGACUAAGCACACUUAGGGCAUCAUUAACCGUCUAAUCAAGGUUUAGUGAGUUAAACUCACCGGAUUAGCGAACCGAGUGAACCAAAACGACGAGGACGACGCGAGGAUCGACUUUCCUCAAGGCGGGCCGAGCAUCCGGGCUCGGGAAGGCAGCCAAAACGGGCCAAACGUUCGCUGCAUACCCAUUUUUUCCAGCUGCUGCCCAUGGCGGUUUGAGGCCGAGGAAGGGUAGAUCCGGCGCCGGUUCGGGUCGGAACGGGCAGAGGAGAACCGGCGGGGCUUGGACAGGCCGGUGGGGAGGUCAACGGCGG